GACGAACGCUGGCGGCGUGCUUAACACAUGCAAGUCGAACGGAAAGGCCCUGCUUUUGUGGGGUGCUGGAGUGGGGGACGGGUGAGUAACACGUGAGUAACGUGCCCUUGACUUUGGGAUAACUUCAGGAAAGUGGGGCUAAUACCGGAUAGGAGCUCCUGCUGCAUGGUGGGGGUGGGAAAGUUUCGGCGGUUGGGGAUGGACUCGCGGCUUAUCAGCUUGUUGGUGGGGUAGUGGCUUACCAAGGCUUUGACGGGUAGCCGGCCUGAGAGGGUGACCGGCCACCUUGGGACUGAGAUACGGACCAGACUCCUACGGGAGGCAGCAGUCGGGAAUAUUGCACAAUGGGCGGAAGCCUGAUGCAGCAACGCCGCGUGCGGGAUGACGGUCUUCGGGUUGUAAACCGCUUUCGCCUGUGACGACGCGUGAGUGACGGUAAUGGGUAAAGAAGCACCGGCUAACUACGUG
rnacentral:rRNA from 1 species